rnacentral:rRNA from 1 species
CCUACGGGUGGCAGCAGUGGGGAAUAUUGGGCAAUGGGCGCAAGCCUGACCCAGCAACGCAGCGUGAGGGAAGAAGGCUUUCGGGUUGUAAACUUCUUUUGACAGGGAAGAGUAGAAGACGGUGCCUGACGAAUAAGCGACGGCGAACUACGUGCCAGCAGCCGCGGUAAUACGUAGGUGGCAAGCGUUGUCCGGAUUUACUGGGUGUAAAGGGCGUGUAGCCGGGUUGACAAGUCAGAUGUGAAAUCCUGCGGCUUAACCGUAGAACUGCAUUUGAAACUGUUGAUCUUGAGUACUGGAGAGGCAGGUGGAAUUCCUAGUGUAGCGGUGAAAUGCGUAGAUAUUAGGAGGAACCCCAGUUGCGAAGGCGGUCUGCUGGACCGCUACUGACGGUGAGGCGCGAAAGCGCGGGUAGCAAACAGGAUUAGAUACCCGUGUAGUC